GUCGAACGAUGAAGCCCAGCUUGCUGGGUGGAUUAGUGGCGAACGGGUGAGUAACACGUGAGUAACCUGCCCUCGACUCCAGGAUAAGCCCGGGAAACUGGGUCUAAUACUGGAUAUUCAAUUUCCAUCGCAUGGUGGUUUUUGGAAAGGAUUCUGGUCGAGGAGGGACUCGCGGCCUAUCAGCUUGUUGGUGAGGUAAUGGCUCACCAAGGCGACGACGGGUAGCCGGCCUGAGAGGGUGACCGGCCACACUGGGACUGAGACACGGCCCAGACUCCUACGGGAGGCAGCAGUGGGGAAUAUUGCACAAUGGGCGAAAGCCUGAUGCAGCGACGCCGCGUGAGGGAUGACGGCCUUCGGGUUGUAAACCUCUUUCAGUAGGGAAGAAGCGAAAGUGACGGUACCUGCAGAAGAAGCGCCGGCUAACUACGUGCCAGCAGCCGCGGUAAUACGUAGGGCGCAAGCGUUAUCCGGAAUUAUUGGGCGUAAAGAGCUCGUAGGCGGUUUGUCGCGUCUGCCGUGAAAGUCCGGGGCUUAACUCCGGAUCUGCGGUGGGUACGGGCAGACUAGAGUGCUGUAGGGGAGACUGGAAUUCCUGGUGUAGCGGUGAAAUGCGCAGAUAUCAGGAGGAACACCGAUGGCGAAGGCAGGUCUCUGGGCAGUAACUGACGCUGAGG
rnacentral:rRNA from 1 species